UGACAGGCUGGCACCUACACUCACCUGGCCACACUUACAUGGCAUCCAAGGACCCAAACUCUGGUUCUCACACUUGGGCCACGAAGCUUUAACGGCUGAACAAGCAUCUACCCCAGGCCUCAACUAAAAGGCAAUAUGGACAGGAAGCUGUGCUGUAGACAGCCGGGUUAAAGAAUGAAAAGACACGGAGAGAAACCCUCGUAGAAAGAGACAGAGUCCACAGCAUAGGGAGCAUGCAGAAGCUUGGCUGUGGCUGCAAGAGGGCCGAAGCAGGAGCAGCAGGGACACAACCUCUGAGAAGUGGACACUGGGCCAUCCUUGAUCCCUGUGGCUGAUCAGCCUGAGACCUCAGGAACUCAUGAACUCACUGGGAACACAGAUUUUCUCUUCUGAUCAACAAGGAGAUGGAGUCCAUCCACCGAGCUGUCUGCAUGUCUGGAAGGGGACUGUCCAUCCACCAGGCUGUCUGCAUGUCUGGAAGGGAGCUCCAGGGAUGUAACUUUCAUAGAUCAUCACAUGUGCUGGAGUGAACUUUUCAGUGAUGCAACAGCCUUUGAGUCACCCUGUUCCUCUCACCCACCACCCUGUAAUAACCUCAAUAAAGACACUGGUUCACUACAAUA
rnacentral:lncRNA from 1 species